rnacentral:rRNA from 1 species
UACGUAGGGUGCAAGCGUUAAUCGGAAUUACUGGGCGUAAAGCGUGCGCAGGCGGUGAUGUAAGACAGAUGUGAAAUCUCCCGGCUCAACUGGGAGGGGUCAGUCGAUACUGGCGGGCUCGAGGCCGGUAGGGGGAAGCGGAAUUCCCGGUGUAGUGGUGGAAUGCGUAGAUAUUCGCAAGAACACCAGUGGCGAAGGCGGCUCACUGGCCCGAUACUGACGCUGAGGCACGAAAGCGUGGGGAGCAAACAGG